rnacentral:rRNA from 1 species
GACGAACGCUGGCGGCGUGCUUAACACAUGCAAGUCGAACGGAAAGGCCCUGCUUUUGUGGGGUGCUCGAGUGGCGAACGGGUGAGUAACACGUGAGUAACCUGCCCUUGACUUUGGGAUAACUUCAGGGAACUGGGGCUAAUACCGGAUAGGAGCUCCUGCUGCAUGGUGGGGGUUGGAAAGUUUCGGCGGUUGGGGAUGGACUCGCGGCUUAUCAGCUUGUUGGUGGGGUAGUGGCUUACCAAGGCUUUGACGGGUAGCCGGCCUGAGAGGGUGACCGGCCACAUUGGGACUGAGAUACGGCCCAGACUCCUACGGGAGGCAGCAGUGGGGAAUAUUGCACAAUGGGCGGAAGCCUGAUGCAGCAACGCCGCGUGCGGGAUGACGGCCUUCGGGUUGUAAACCGCUUUCGCCUGUGACGAAGCGUGAGUGACGGUAAUGGGUAAAGAAGCACCGGCUAACUACGUGCCAGCAGCCGCGGUGAUACGUAGGGUGCGAGCGUUGUCCGGAUUUAUUGGGCGUAAAGGGCUCGUAGGUGGUUGAUCGCGUCGGAAGUGUAAUCUUGGGGCUUAACCCUGAGCGUGCUUUCGAUACGGGUUGACUUGAGGAAGGUAGGGGAGAAUGGAAUUCCUGGUGGAGCGGUGGAAUGCGCAGAUAUCAGGAGGAACACCAGUGGCGAAGGCGGUUCUCUGGGCCUUUCCUGACGCUGAGGAGCGAAAGCGUGGGGAGCGAACAGGCUUAGAUACCCUGGUAGUCCACGCUGUAAACGGUGGGUACUAGGUGUGGGGUCCAUUCCACGGGUUCCGUGCCGUAGCUAACGCUUUAAGUACCCCGCCUGGGGAGUACGGCCGCAAGGCUAAAACUCAAAGGAAUUGACGGGGCCCCGCACAAGCGGCGGAGCAUGCGGAUUAAUUCGAUGCAACGCGUAGAACCUUACCUGGGUUUGACAUGGAUCGGGAGUGCUCAGAGAUGGGUGUGCCUCUUUUGGGGUCGGUUCACAGGUGGUGCAUGGCUGUCGUCAGCUCGUGUCGUGAGAUGUUGGGUUAAGUCCCGCAACGAGCGCAACCCUUGUUCACUGUUGCCAGCACGUUAUGGUGGGGACUCAGUGGAGACCGCCGGGGUCAACUCGGAGGAAGGUGGGGAUGACGUCAAGUCAUCAUGCCCCUUAUGUCCAGGGCUUCACGCAUGCUACAAUGGCUGGUACAGAGAGUGGCGAGCCUGUGAGGGUGAGCGAAUCUCGGAAAGCCGGUCUCAGUUCGGAUUGGGGUCUGCUACUCGACCUCAUGAAGUCGGAGUCGCUAGUAAUCGCAGAUCAGCAACGCUGCGGUGAAUACGUUCCCGGG